rnacentral:rRNA from 1 species
AUUGAACGCUGGCGGCAUGCCUUACACAUGCAAGUCGAACGGUAACAGGUCUUCGGAUGCUGACGAGUGGCGAACGGGUGAGUAAUGCAUCGGAACGUGCCCAGUAGUGGGGGAUAGCCCGGCGAAAGCCGGAUUAAUACCGCAUACGACCUGAGGGUGAAAGGGGGGGAUCGCAAGACCUCUCGCUAUUGGAGCGGCCGAUGUCAGAUUAGGUAGUUGGUGGGGUAAAGGCCUACCAAGGCAACGAUCUGUAGUUGGUCUGAGAGGACGACCAGCCACACUGGGACUGAGACACGGCCCAGACUCCUACGGGAGGCAGCAGUGGGGAAUUUUGGACAAUGGGCGCAAGCCUGAUCCAGCAAUGCCGCGUGCAGGAAGAAGGCCUUCGGGUUGUAAACUGCUUUUGUCAGGGAAGAAAUCUUCUGGGUUAAUACCUCGGGAGGAUGACGGUACCUGAAGAAUAAGCACCGGCUAACUACGUGCCAGCAGCCGCCGUAAUAC